UACGUAGGGGGCAAGCGUUGUCCGGAUUUAUUGGGCGUAAAGAGCUCGUAGGCGGUUUGGUAAGUCGGGUGUGAAAUCUCCACGCUCAACGUGGAGGGGCCACUCGAUACUGCCAUGACUGGAGUCCGGUAGAGGAGUGUGGAAUUCCCGGUGUAGCGGUGAAAUGCGCAGAUAUCGGGAGGAACACCGGUGGCGAAGGCGGUUCUCUGGGCCUUACCUGACGCUGAGGAGCGAAAGCAUGGGGAGCGAACAGG
rnacentral:rRNA from 1 species